rnacentral:rRNA from 1 species
AGAGUUUGAUCAUAGCUCAGAUUGAACGCUGGCGGCAGGCCUAACACAUGCAAGUCGAACGGUAACAGGAAGCAGCUUGCUGCUUCGCUGACGAGUGGCGGACGGGUGAGUAAUGUCUGGGAAGCUGCCUGAUGGAGGGGGAUAACUACUGGAAACGGUAGCUAAUACCGCAUAAUGUCGCAAGACCAAAGAGGGGGACCUUCGGGCCUCUUGCCAUCGGAUGUGCCCAGAUGGGAUUAGCUUGUUGGUGGGGUAACGGCUCACCAAGGCGACGAUCCCUAGCUGGUCUGAGAGGAUGACCAGCCACACUGGAACUGAGACACGGCCCAGACUCCUACGGGAGGCAGCAGUGGGGAAUAUUGCACAAUGGGCGCAAGCCUGAUGCAGCCAUGCCGCGUGUAUGAAGAAGGCCUUCGGGUUGUAAAGUACUUUCAGCGGGGAGGAAGGGAGUAAAGUUAAUACCUUUGCUCAUUGACGUUACCCGCAGAAGAAGCACCGGCUAACUCCGUGCCAGCAGCCGCGGUAAUACGGAGGGUGCAAGCGUUAAUCGGAAUUACUGGGCGUAAAGCGCACGCAGGCGGUUUGUUAAGUCAGAUGUGAAAUCCCCGGGCUCAACCUGGGAACUGCAUCUGAUACUGGCAAGCUUGAGUCUCGUAGAGGGGGGUAGAAUUCCAGGUGUAGCGGUGAAAUGCGUAGAGAUCUGGAGGAAUACCGGUGGCGAAGGCGGCCCCCUGGACGAAGACUGACGCUCAGGUGCGAAAGCGUGGGGAGCAAACAGGAUUAGAUACCAUGGUAGUCCACGCCGUAAACGAUGUCGACUUGGAGGUUGUGCCCUUGAGGCGUGGCUUCCGGAGCUAACGCGUUAAGUCGACCGCCUGGGGAGUACGGCCGCAAGGUUAAAACUCAAAUGAAUUGACGGGGGCCCGCACAAGCGGUGGAGCAUGUGGUUUAAUUCGAUGCAACGCGAAGAACCUUACCUGGUCUUGACAUCCACGGAAGUUUUCAGAGAUGAGAAUGUGCCUUCGGGAACCGUGAGACAGGUGCUGCAUGGCUGUCGUCAGCUCGUGUUGUGAAAUGUUGGGUUAAGUCCCGCAACGAGCGCAACCCUUAUCCUUUGUUGCCAGCGGUCCGGCCGGGAACUCAAAGGAGACUGCCAGUGAUAAACUGGAGGAAGGUGGGGAUGACGUCAAGUCAUCAUGGCCCUUACGACCAGGGCUACACACGUGCUACAAUGGCGCAUACAAAGAGAAGCGACCUCGCGAGAGCAAGCGGACCUCAUAAAGUGCGUCGUAGUCCGGAUUGGAGUCUGCAACUCGACUCCAUGAAGUCGGAAUCGCUAGUAAUCGUGGAUCAGAAUGCCACGGUGAAUACGUUCCCGGGCCUUGUACACACCGCCCGUCACACCAUGGGAGUGGGUUGCAAAAGAAGUAGGUAGCUUAACCUUCGGGAGGGCGCUUACCGCUUUGUGAUUCAUGACUGGGGUGAAGUCGUAACAAGGUAACCGUAGGGGAACCUGCGGUUG